UACGAAGGGGGCUAGCGUUGCUCGGAAUCACUGGGCGUAAAGCGCGCGUAGGCGGCUAUGCAAGUCGAGUGUGAAAUCCCCGGGCUCAACCUGGGAACUGCAUUCGAGACUGCAUUGCUUGAGUAUGGGAGAGGGAGGCGGAAUUUCAGGUGUAGCGGUGAAAUGCGUAGAUAUCUGAAGGAACAUCAGUGGCGAAAGCGGCCUCCUGGACCAAUACUGACGCUCAUGUGCGAAAGCGUGGGGAGCAAACAGG
rnacentral:rRNA from 1 species